CUGAAUGCCAAUGGUACUUGUGAUUAGUGCUGAAAAUUCUGGACCCGUGUGAGGUUUGCUUCCAUGGAGGUAACUAGGCACUUUCAACACAAGCGAACAAGACCACACAACUGUAUGAUGCCUAUCAAUAUUACAACAUGUAACUGGGCACUUUCAACACAAGUGAACAAGACCACACAACUGUAUGAUGCCUAGCAAAAUGUAAAAUGUAACUGGGCACUUUCAACACAAGCAUGCAAGACCACACAACUGUAUGAUGCCUAGCAAAAUGUAAAAUAUGUAACUGGGCACUUUCAACACAAGCAAACAAGACCACACAACUGUAUGAUGAUUAGCAAAAUGUAAAAUAUACACCUUUCACUUACUGCAAGUAUUUCACUUUGGCAUAAAUGUGAGUUACAUCUCUAGCAUCAAAAGAUUGGUAACACAGACCACUGAUAUCACUUCCAAGACUGUGUUUUCUUUGUCAUAUUAGUUUCUGUUUGUUGAAAAACACAGAUUUAGUUUUGUUGAUAUAUGCACGAAAGGUGACAGAGGAACAGGUCAUACUGGGAGCAGUAGGUCUGUGACUUGGAUGCAGCACAGUUACUGAUUUGAUGCCAUUAAGGCACAAAGCUUUGUAAUGAUUAAAAUGGUGAGUGAAUGUAAAUCCUGGAAGUGUUAUUUCUUUAUACUAAAACCUGCUACUUUAAGUUAUGUUUCAGAAAUUUCUUGAGCACCUCGACUUGAAAAAUAACAGGAAUACCAUCUAGAAUAUUACAAGUGAGGACAGUCAGUCAAUGAUAAUCCAUGAGCUUAGGCUGAAGGAAAAAAAUUCUAUAUAUGUAAUAAAAGUUGAUUGUAAUGUGUGAUGUUGUAGACAUACAAUAAUCUGUUUUGUGCUAUCUUUUCCAUAAUGAAUUUGGUGACAACAUGUGGAUCAAAACUGGAAUGAGCAAAGAAUACCAACCAAAUUUAAGACCCAAAAACCAGAAAGAGCCACGACCAGCGGUGGAACAUACGCAAGUUUGAAAAAUUUGUUCCAAAUGCACACUAAUAGUGAUUUUUUUUCUUUUUGUUGUUGUUGAUUGUAGAUUUACAUAUAUGUUCCUGUCUCCUGCUAAAAAUGAACCAUCCCAACUAGCAAAUUUUACUUUGUUAUUUAGAACUUUUUUAAUUGCAUUAAUUAAGAGCCACCUGCACUUUGAGAGGACUAAAACUGUUGAGAUUUUAUUAUUCAUUCAAUAACAAGAUUAAUAUGUGGGGUAUGUGAAAUGUGUGUACAUGUUUGUUUUGCUCAUACUUGUACAAAUGUUUCAUGUAACCUGACGAGGCGAACCCAAGAUUCAAGAAG